CCUACGGGAGGCAGCAGUGAGGAAUAUUGGACAAUGGGGGGAACCCUGAUCCAGCGACGCCGCGUGAGUGAAGAAGUAUUUCGGUAUGUAAAGCUCUAUCAGCAGGGAAGAAAGAAAUGACGGUACCUGACUAAGAAGCCGCGGCUAACUACGUGCCAGCAGCCGCGGUAAUACGUAGGGGGCAAGCGUUAUCCGGAUUUACUGGGUGUAAAGGGCGCGUAGACGGCGAUGCAAGUCUGAAGUGAAAGGCGGGGGCCCAACCCCCGGACUGCUUUGGAAACUGUAUGGCUGGAGUGCAGGAGAGGUAAGUGGAAUUCCUAGUGUAGCGGUGAAAUGCGUAGAUAUUAGGAGGAACACCAGUGGCGAAGGCGGCUUACUGGACUGUAACUGACGUUGAGGCUCGAAAGCGUGGGGAGCAAACAGGAUUAGAUACCCCAGUAGUC
rnacentral:rRNA from 1 species